GAUGAACGCUGGCGGCGUGCCUAAUACAUGCAAGUCGAGCGAACGGACGAGAAGCUUGCUUCUCUGAUGUUAUCGGCGGACGGGUGAGUAACACGUGGAUAACCUACCUAUAAGACUGGGAUAACUUCGGGAAACCGGAGCUAAUACCGGAUAAUAUUUUGAACCGCAUGGUUCAAAAGUGAAAGACGGUCUUGCUGUCACUUAUAGAUGGAUCCGCGCUGCAUUAGCUAGUUGGUAAGGUAACGGCUUACCAAGGCAACGAUGCAUAGCCGACCUGAGAGGGUGAUCGGCCACAUGGGAACUGGGACACGGUCCAAACUCCUACGGGAGGCAGCAGUAGGGAAUCUUCCGCAAUGGGCGAAAGCCUGACGGAGCAACGCCGCGUGAGUGAUGAAGGUCUUCGGAUCGUAAAACUCUGUUAUUAGGGAAGAACAUAUGUGUAAGUAACUGUGCACAUCUUGACGGUACCUAAUCAGAAAGCCACGGCUAACUACGUG
rnacentral:rRNA from 1 species